rnacentral:rRNA from 1 species
UUUAGGCGUCGGCUCCGGCUGACUGCGCCUGCCAGAGGACCCAAACUCUUUUGUUUAGUGAUGUCUGAGUACUAUAUAAUAGUUAAAACUUUCAACAACGGAUCUCUUGGUUCUGGCAUCGAUGAAGAACGCAGCGAAAUGCGAUAAGUAAUGUGAAUUGCAGAAUUCAGUGAAUCAUCGAAUCUUUGAACGCACAUUGCGCCCCUUGGUAUUCCGAGGGGCAUGCCUGUUCGAGCGUCAUUAUAACCACUCAAGCCUCGGCUUGGUCUUGGGGUUCGCGGUUUCGCGGCCCUUAAAAUCAGUGGCGGUGCCGUCUGGCUCUAAGCGUAGUAAUUCUCUCGCUAUAGGGUCCAGGUGACCACCUGCCAUAACCCCCCCAUUCUUUACGGUUGACCUCGGAUCAGGUAGGGAUACCCGCUGAACUUAAGCAUAUCAAUAAGCGGAGG